AAAAUAGGAGAUAAAACAUAAUAAAUCCCAUCAAGAUUUCCCUUUAUUCAGGCACCCUAU
rnacentral:tRNA from 1 species